CCUUUCGGAUGUUAGUAGUGAAUGGUCACCAAAAUUUCGUGUUCGCUAUCGCACUGUAUUGUUGUACUUCUUCAAGUACUGUGCUACAUAUCCUAUUCACCAUAACUCACUAAAUUGUUUCGCAACAGUGUCGAAAAUUUGAGAAUAAAUUUUUCGAUUAGUGUUAAUUAACAUAACUCAAAUGAAGCUGAAUAUAUUUUAAAGUAUCACCAAUUAAAACGCUAAAAUUAUACUUUUCGGUUUUUGGCUGUUAAAGUGAUAAACUAAUAAUUAAAGAGCAACUAUGUUGGUAGUGAAUCAUUUUAAAAGGAUCAAAAAAUAUAUGUGUACAUAUUGUUAAAGAACCUAAUUAUUAAUAUUUUUAGUGCUAUUGACAAAAAGUACUUCCUGCCUAAAGAUUUAAUUCACAUCGGGCAUCUUUUUCAAAUCUAAAUCUGAGCCAAAUUUCCGAUGGCUCAGCCUAACGCAUCCUUAACAAUUUGAGUUUUUAAGACAAAUACCGUCGCGUAAAAGAUUUUGGAUCUCUCGCCGCUCACCUCUUGAAAACGCUGCCGACACGUAGCAACAUCAUAUUUGAUUUGCCAUUGAACUGCAAAGAAUCGUAAAGAUACUGAGAAAUAAGAUUAAAAAAAAAAAAACUACAAAAAAAGAAUAAAACAAAAUCUUUCACAAACGCAAACGAAUUAAAUAAGACAUUCCGUUAAAUUAGUUUCAAUUUUGAUUACAUCAACGAAGCACAUCAAAACCAACAUCAGCACCACCACCACCACCCACUUUUACUGUUCAGCACUGAGGAAUACACAGCGCCCAAACGGUUUUCGGUGCGCCUACGGCAAGCUACUAGCAAAUCUAGAAGCGCCUAGCCAAACAGUAAGUCGUAGCAGCAGGCAGGAAAUUAGGCAAGUGGCAUACACGCGCGCCUGGCGUAGCACCACAUACGUACAUACAUAUGUAGUUACAUCGUAACAUAUGCACACACAUUUGUGGGCACCUUGAACCUCAGCUGCAUUGUUGCUAUUGUUGUCAACCGUCAACGACGUCUUUGUCGGCGUCGCAACAUCGACAUUUUGAAGAGCCAAUGCUUAAUUGUUGUAGACGACGCUGGAUUUUAUAGUACUCCAUAGCUCCACAACCGCAACUACAGCCGCACACCUCUUCAACCUCCUCCGCACGUUCGCAAAUAAAAAACGCGCACACUUGAUACUUGAGUGCUUUGGAAUUUUUAAUUGCAAAUCAAACGUUGGUUUGAUUUUGUCAAAACUCAUCACUGUUUACUUCUUUAAACG